UGCAUAUUUUUAUUAAGAAAUUUUAUAUCUUUAUUUUCCAUGUGUUUAUUUUUAUUUUUUCUAGUAACUGCAAAAGUUUUUUUUUUUUAUCUUUUUUUUUUUUUAUGUAACUUAUCACCUUAAGUAUUUAUAAGAGUAGUUAGGUAUUUGUGGUAUAUAGCUUAUUCUAGACAUAUAAUUUUUACCAAAAGCUUUUUCUAAUAUUAUUUUUCUUAUAUCUGCUACUUUUAUAUUUCUAAGUGCAUACAAAAUAAGUAUCUUGAAUUUAUCUACCAUCACAUCAGAUAUAUUAUCAUUCAUUUUUCAUAAAUUUGCUUUUUUCAAAAUAUUCCCUUCAAUCACGUACACAACAAAAUAUGGUCAUAUUGGCUUACUAUAUACUAGAUUAUUCUUAAAUAAUAUGUUC
rnacentral:lncRNA from 1 species